AUUGUGGCAAUGAAUAGCAGUUCCUUAAGGGAGGGACUUGGGGUGCGACUCUCAUCUGUGGAGAACGGGCCUUUAAUAGUUUCAGGAGUGAUGGAGGGUAGCCUAGCAGAGAGGGAAGGUCACAUUCAGUUAGGAGACAAAUUUGUUUCUGUGGACGGUGUUUCAGCAUCGUCUCUCUCCCCUGACGCUGUGAUGAAUGAGAUGGAGGACUCUUCCUCUGGCCAUGUCAUUGUACUCACCAGGUUGGAGGAGAAUACUGAGGCCCCUCCCCCUACCCCUCUGGCUCCUCCCCCAACCCUGCCUGUCUCAGCACCCCCUGAUGUACCCUCUGAAGAGCCGGGAACCAAUGUGGUGGAAGACGAAGCAUGCAAUGACUUUGAUGGUGUUGUCACUGACAAUGAAAAUGUUGAGUUGAAAGUGGAGAGACCUACUGAAAAUGUGGACAGUGAUAUAAAAGCCAGCGAGGCAGAUUUCACUGUGAAUGGUCCAGAAAAUAGUGUUAAUUCUAAUGAACUUGAAAAGCAUGAAAGUAACCUCACCCCAGAUUCCAUUAGUGUCACCAUUCCAGACCUAGCUGAAGUGUCAAGCCCUCAGGGCUCUCAAGACUCAGGGGUGGACACUCAAGACUCAGGGGUGGAUACUCAGGACUCGGGGGUGGACAGUCCAAGUCCUUUAGGUACCCUGACAAGCACUGAAGACUCUGAUGCCAAGGAGAGACCCAAGGUGGAUAUUGAAGAGAAGCAGCCAUUGUCUAAUGGGGAUCGUAAUCAAGUGUCUUCGCCUAUCUCUCCCCUCGACAGCCUAGGGCUUCUGUCUACAGCUCUUUCCGAUGAUACUGAUGACGACAAUGCAGAAAAAGAAACAUUUGAAGUCAUAAUGAACAAAGGUGUGACUGGGUUAGGGUUCCUGAUAGAGGGAGGAAAAGCCUCGGCCAAAGGAGACCAACCUCUCACCAUAAAGAGGAUCUUUAAAGGUGGCCCAGCAGAGAAAUGUGGCAUGCUGAAGGUCAAGGACGAGAUUUUGACGGUCAACAAUCAGGAUGUCACGGAAAUGCGACAUUCCGAAGCCUGGACUCACCUAAAGUUCCUGGAUGAGGGACCAGUUCAUUUACUGAUUCGCCGGAAGGUCCAAAAAACCAACGAGUGAUCGAUAUUGGCUCACUUGGGUUAAACCUGUUGUACCAAUAGUUGUUCAGUCAUUAGCAAAAUCAAAUUAUAUUUUUUUAUAAACCACAUGCAUUGUGAGAGAGGUUUUAAGAGAGCUUGGACCUGGAUCCAUAACUUGACUAGCUGAAUCAAUCUCCAUAUUUUGUUUAUACAGCACAAUCAUGUCUCUUGUUCUAAAGUUUCAAAUAAUUAACCUUACAGAGAACUGUCAGAUUUGUGCAAGAAUUUCAUGGGAAACAAUUUUUAUUGAUAAUUUAUAUAUUUCUUUUUUUACAAUUAUGUACUUUUCUGAGGUGAAUAUGAUGUGAACUACCUAGGAGGAAUAAUAUUCACCAAGCCUGAAGGCCAAGGUCAUUAUUAUCCUUCAAGGUUGUUGAACCCAUCACUUGCACAAUGAAAAAUAAAAAUAUUAAUAGUUCUAUUAUAUUCCCUCACAGUUAAAAAGUGUACCGGUAUAUUCCUAUAACAGUUUAAUACAAAUAAUGUAUGUUGAUAAACAUUCCUAGAUUUUGAAAAUAUUUUGCAGGUAAUAUGUCAACUAUGAUUUACAAAUAAGGUCUCUUCUACUGUUCUAUAUAAUGGUAGCCAUGAACCGGUACAUGUUGAUCUUGUCUCGGAGAAUUCCUGUGAUAAAAUGCGCAUGUCUCCAAUUUUACACCGAGAAAGGAAAUUGGUCUCGUCAGUUAAACAAGCAUAUAGCACACAAUUCAGUAUUCAUGGCACAAAUGUAACUGAAAUUUGUCUCCAAUUUAUGUUAAUUGAUAUAUUUCGUUAAUGAUAUAACAGUAUGUAGCGACACUGUGUUUUAUCCUAUGUUUUGACUUAUUAUGGCACUGGACUGUUAAUGAAGCGCAGUGCUGUAUGUUGUUAAGUUUGUUCACAAUUGUAUAUAACCGUCUCAGGUGUACCUCACAAUAUUUCCACUCUUUUCAAAUACCCCAUGUGUUUCUAUAUCAGCCAUUACGUACUGAUCACAGUGUUAUCGAGUAUAAUGCACACAAAGUAGAUAGAGAAGUAUAUCAUGUGUUCAACUGGACAGUCUUCAUCUCUCCUGCUGCCUCUCAAUGAGAUAUUCCCAGUUUUUAUGUCCUUCCCUCAGAACAAGUUUCAUAUAUAUGUUUUUUAAAAAAUAAGAACAGCUUGUAAAUUGUUAAAGAAAUGUUUCUGAUUAUUUCCUUUAUGCCCAAUUUUGAUCAAUGUUCCAGUAAGCUUGGUGUUCUGUAUAAUUAUCUAGACUUAUAUCUAUUUGCAAUAUGUUUGAAUGAAGCAAUAUUUUCUACAUAUAUGAAAUAAAGUAUUUACCUAACAG
rnacentral:misc_RNA from 1 species